CCCGAGACUAGAGUCACAUCCUGGCCCCUCCGAUGGCCUUGGUGUGCUAGAGUCCUCGGAGAGCCAACACUGAUCUCUAUUCACUGGUUGCUUGUCCUUGUCGCUCAACCAGUCACCAGUUCAGUAACAUUG